GUUAUCUGAGCAUACGUGUACGUGUCAGAAAUGACAGUGUUAUCAUUUACCGUAUUCUCAUAUGAUGGCUGCCUAUACACAUGUGUCAAUUGAUUUUUGACGAUAUAUUGAUCGAUGUUACACACUAGAGGAAUAUCAUCAUAGUUACAGCCAUAAAUUUCAACACAUUCCGCAUGCAGAUUAUUGGGCGCAACAAAUAACUGACAUCACUAUUAUACCACAGAAAGAACGAUUGCGACAAAAGAGAAGAUCGCGAUCUUUUAGACUAAAGAAUGAAAUGGAUUGGACGG
rnacentral:lncRNA from 1 species